GAAGGAAUAGCUCAGCAGUAGAGCGCAUGCUUAGCAUGCACGAGGUCCCGGGUUCCAUCCCCAGUGCCUCCA
rnacentral:tRNA from 1 species